UACGUAGGGCGCAAGCGUUGUCCGGAAUUAUUGGGCGUAAAGAGCUCGUAGGCGGCUUGUCACGUCGGGUGUGAAAGCCCGGGGCUUAACCCCGGGUCUGCAUUCGAUACGGGCUAGCUAGAGUGUGGUAGGGGAGAUCGGAAUUCCUGGUGUAGCGGUGGAAUGCGCAGAUAUCAGGAGGAACACCGAUGGCGAAGGCAGCUCGCUGGGACGGUACUGACGCUGAGACGCGAAAGCGUGGGGAGCAAACAGG
rnacentral:rRNA from 1 species